rnacentral:rRNA from 1 species
AUAUCAAUAAGCGGAGGAAAAGAAACCAACAGGGAUUGCCCUAGUAACGGCGAGUGAAGCGGCAACAGCUCAAAUUUGAAAUCUGGCCCCCCCGGGGUCCGAGUUGUAAUUUGCAGAGGGUGCUUCGGCGUCGGCCCCGGGUCAAGUCCCCUGGAACGGGGCGUCCUAGAGGGUGAGAACCCCGUACUCACCCGGGUGCCCUUCGCCGCGUGAAGCCCCUUCGACGAGUCGAGUUGUUUGGGAAUGCAGCUCUAAGCGGGAGGUAAAUUUCUUCUAAAGCUAAAUACCGGCCAGAGACCGAUAGCGCACAAGUAGAGUGAUCGAAAGAUGAAAAGCACUUUGGAAAGAGAGUUAAAAAGCACGUGAAAUUGUUGAAAGGGAAGCUCUUGCCGCCAGACUUGCCGCGGUUGCUCAGCCGCCCCCCGGGGUGGUGUACUCUUCCGUCGGCAGGCCAGCGUCGGUUCGGGCGGCCGGAUAAAGGCCCUGGGAAUGUAGCACCCCCCGGGGUGUGUUAUAGCCCAGGGCGUAAUGCGGUCAGCCCGGUCCGAGGCACGCGUUCGCGAGGACGCUGGCGUAAUGGCUGCAAGCGACCCGUCUUGAAACACGGACCAAGGAGUCUAACAUCUGUGCGAGUGUUUGGGCGUCAAACCCAUGCGCGUAAUGAAAGUGAACGGAGGUGGGAACCCCCUCGAGGGGCGCACCAUCGACCGAUCCUGAUGUCCUCGGAUGGAUUUGAGUAAGAGCAUAGCUGUUGGGACCCGAAAGAUGGUGAACUAUUCCCGGAUAGGGUGAAGCCAGAGGAAACUCUGGUGGAGGCUCGCAGCGGUUCUGACGUGCAAAUCGAUCGUCAAAUCUAGGAAUAGGGGCGAAAGACUAAUCGAACCAU